GAGCCCAGCGCAGAACGUUCCGGGGCACUCGCCCUGAGAAUGAAUGUUGCGUUAAGGAUAUUGGCAUACACCCAUGGCAGUUACACUUUGCUAAGUCAGCCUCGAAUGGUUCUCGUGAAGCCGGUAACACGGUGAGACUCCAGGGAGGGUGUUAGACCCGUGUGAAGGUGCAAUCUGCUUGGGCAAGCCGAUAUCCCGAGAGUCGCGUUGUUUGAACAUGCAGCGCUAAGCAGGUCGUAGACUCGAUCUAAGGCUAAAUAUGUCCACAGAACCGAUAGUUAACAAGUACCGUGAGGGAAAGUUGAAAAGCACUCCGUAACGGAGAGUCAAAAGACCGUGAAACCACUCAGAGUAUAAGCCAAUGGUGUCUGGAAGGUCCUGUGCUUACAUCUUGGUGUCAAGGACUCAUGCGAACCUCAGCACUUGCGGGAGCAAUCUCCGUUGCUUUGGUAAGCUUGUCCGCUGAAGCACUCCGUUGACCCACCUGGCUCGUUGUGAGGUGUCCUGAGAGCAAAGCGAAGUGUUAAGAUUGGCUUGGAGUUGGGCGUGGGCGUCUCGAUGCCUUUCGCACUCUCCUUUUCGAGCACUUCUUCAGUUCUAUUCGCACAAAGUGUGGUAGUCUUGGAGUGUGCGCUGCUUGACGCUCUCUGGAACCAUCCUCUGCGACGAAGCUUCAAUGCCUUAGUGAGCGGCCGUCUUCCUCCUCGGGAGUCGGUACAUUGGCGCGGCUUGCACACUGUCGGUGCUCCGCUGUUCAACUCUGGCGCAAGGUGUUACGUCCGAUACCAUUGGUCACGUCUCGAAACACGGGCCAAGGAGUAUAGCGUGUGUGCAAGUCUAAGGGUUCCACAAAACCUGGAGGCGUAGUGAAAGCGAGUUAUGGUGUCUCACUGGACUGAUGGAGAAGGCAGUGAUGCGUGAUCCCGCAAGUCCCGGACUCGUCGUCUGCACUGCUUCGGUUGUGUUAGCGCGAGCACCGCAGAGCACAUACGCUAUGACCCGAAAGAUAGUGAACUAUGCUUGGCGAGGGUGAAGCCCCAGGAAACUGGGGUGGAGGCCCGUAGCCGUUGUGACGUGCAAAUCCA
rnacentral:rRNA from 1 species